rnacentral:rRNA from 1 species
GGGGAAUAUUGCACAAUGGGCGAAAGCCUGAUGCAGCAACGCCGCGUGGAGGAUGAAGGCCUUCGGGUUGUAAACUCUUGUCUUCUGGGACGAUAAUGACGGUACCCGAGGAGGAAGCCACGGCUAACUACGUGCCAGCAGCCGCGGUAAGACGUAGGUGGCAAGCGUUGUCCGGAUUUACUGGGCGUAAAGGAUGCGUAGGCGGAUAUUUAAGUGGGAUGUGAAAUACCCGAGCUCAACUUGGGUGCUGCAUUCCAAACUGGAUAUCUAGAGUGCGGGAGACGAGAGUGGAAUUCCUAGUGUAGCGGUGAGAUGCGUAGGGAUUAGGAAGAACACCAGUGGCGAAGGCGACUCUCUGGACCGUAACUGACGCUGAGGCAUGAAAGCGUGGGGAGCAAAC